rnacentral:misc_RNA from 1 species
GAUGAAGAACGCAGCGAAAUGCGAUAAGUAAUGUGAAUUGCAGAAUUCGGUGAAUCAUCGAAUCUUUGAACGCACAUUGCGCCCCCUGGUAUUCCGGGGGGCAUGCCUGUCCGAGCGUCAUUACAACCCUCAAGCUCAGCUUGGUGUUGGGCCCCGCCGCCCCGGCGGGCCCUAAAGUCAGUGGCGGUGCCGUCCGGCUCCGAGCGUAGUAAUUCUUCUCGCUCUGGAGGUCCGGUCGUGUGCUCGCCAGCAACCCCCAAUUUUUUUCAGGUUGACCUCGGAUCAGGUAGGGAUACCCGCUGAACUUAAGCAUAUCAAUAAGCGGAGGA